CCUACGGGAGACAGCAGUGAGGAAUAUUGGUCAAUGGACGAGAGUCUGAACCAGCCAAGUAGCGUGAAGGAUGACUGCCCUAUGGGUUGUAAACUUCUUUUAUAUGGGAAUAAAAUGUUCCACGUGUGGGAUUUUGUAUGUACCAUAUGAAUAAGGAUCGGCUAACUCCGUGCCAGCAGCCGCGGUAAUACGGAGGAUCCGGGCGUUAUCCGGAUUUAUUGGGUUUAAAGGGAGCGUAGGUGGAUUGUUAAGUCAGUUGUGAAAGUUUGCGGCUCAACCGUAAAAUUGCAGUUGAAACUGGCAGUCUUGAGUACAGUAGAGGUGGGCGGAAUUCGUGGUGUAGCGGUGAAAUGCUUAGAUAUCACGAAGAACUCCGAUUGCGAAGGCAGUUCACUGGACUGCAACUGACACUGAGGCUCGAAAGUGUGGGUAUCAAACAGGAUUAGAUACCCUAGUAGUC
rnacentral:rRNA from 1 species